UGGGCGUAAGCGCGCGCAGGCGGUUUCUUAAGUCUGAUGUGAAAGCCCCCGGCUCAACCGGGGAGGGUCAUUGGAAACUGGGGAACUUGAGUGCAGAAGAGGAGAGUGGAAUUCCACGUGUAGCGGUGAAAUGCGUAGAGAUGUGGAGGAACACCAGUGGCGAAGGCGACUCUCUGGUCUGUAACUGACGCUGAGGCGCGAAAGCGUGGGGAGCGAACAGGAUUAGAUA
rnacentral:rRNA from 1 species